UAAAUCACAAUGCGGAACUAUUAGUUUUGCAAUUGGAUUGAGAACAACGUACAAACCUUAUCGAUAAACAAUUGGAGGGCAAGUCUGGUGCCAGCAGCCGCGGUAAUUCCAGCUCCAAUAGCGUAUAUUAACGUUGUUGCAGUUAAAAAGCUCGUAGUUGAAGUGAAGUGAACAAAGAAGAGAAGAAUCUUCGGAUUCGGAUCUAAUGCGUUGACUCUUUCCAAAGUCAAUGUAUGGGUAUUCAUUUAUCUAUAUAUUGUGUUUGGUCGUUUACUGUGAGAAAAUUAGAGUGUUCAAAGCAGACGUUUGUUUGAAUACAUUAGCAUGGAAUAAUCAUAUAAGGCUUUCAUGUGUAUUUGAUUGGUUUGGAUAUGAAAGCAAGGUUAAUAGGGACAGUUGGGGGUAUUCAUAUUCAAUAGUCAGAGGUGAAAUUCUCG
rnacentral:rRNA from 1 species